GAGUUUGAUCCUGGCUCAGGAUGAACGCUGGCGGCGUGCCUAAUACAUGCAAGUCGAACGCUUCACUUCGGUGAAGAGUGGCGAACGGGUGAGUAAUACAUAAGUAACCUGGCAUCUACAGGGGGAUAACUGAUGGAAACGUCAGCUAAGACCGCAUAGGUGUAGAGAUCGCAUGAACUCUAUAUGAAAAGUGCUACGGGACUGGUAGAUGAUGGACUUAUGGCGCAUUAGCUGGUUGGUAGGGUAACGGCCUACCAAGGCGACGAUGCGUAGCCGACCUGAGAGGGUGACCGGCCACACUGGGACUGAGACACGGCCCAGACUCCUACGGGAGGCAGCAGUAGGGAAUUUUCGGCAAUGGGGGAAACCCUGACCGAGCAACGCCGCGUGAAGGAAGAAGUAAUUCGUUAUGUAAACUUCUGUCAUAGAGGAAGAACGGUGGAUAUAGGGAAUGAUAUCCAAGUGACGGUACUCUAUAAGAAAGCCACGGCUAACUACGUGCCAGCCGCCGCGGUAAUUC
rnacentral:rRNA from 1 species